rnacentral:rRNA from 1 species
CUCUUACGGCGAGGACGAGCGAGUGGGGACUAUUGCCCAAUGGGCGAAAGCCUGAUGCAGGGACGCCGCUUGAGGGAUGACGGCCUUCGGGUUGUAAACCUCUUUCAGCAGGGAAGAAGCGCAAGUGACGGUACCUGCAGAAGAAGCACCGGCUAACUACGUGCCAGCAGCCGCGGUAAUACGUAGGGUGCGAGCGUUGUCCGGAAUUAUUGGGCGUAAAGAGCUCGUAGGCGGCCUGUCGCGUCGGAUGUGAAAGCCCGGGGCUUAACCCCGGGUCUGCAUUCGAUACGGGCAGGCUAGAGUGUGGUAGGGGAGAUCGGAAUUCCUGGUGUAGCGGUGAAAUGCGCAGAUAUCAGGAGGAACACCGGUGGCGAAGGCGGAUCUCUGGGCCAUUACUGACGCUGAGGAGCGAAAGCGUGGGGAGCGAACAGGAUUAGAUACCCUGGUAGUCCACGCCGUAAACGUUGGGAACUAGGUGUUGGCGACAUUCCACGUCGUCGGUGCCGCAGCUAACGCAUUAAGUUCCCCGCCUGGGGAGUACGGCCGCAAGGCUAAAACUCAAAGGAAUUGACGGGGGCCCGCACAAGCAGCGGAGCAUGUGGCUUAAUUCGACGCAACGCGAAGAACCUUACCAAGGCUUGACAUAUGCCGGAAACAUCCCAGAG